AAUUUUUUUUUAACCUAGUGCAAGAUUCUUCUUCAGUACCACUGCCCACAUUCCUGGUUGCUGGAGGGAGCCUGGCCUUCGGAACGCUCCUCUGCAUUGCCAUUGUUCUGAGAAGGUUCAAGAAGACGUGGAAGCUGCGGGCUCUGAAGGAAGGCAAGACAAGCAUGCAUCCGCCGUACUCUUUGGGGCAGCUGGUCCCGGAGAGGCCUCGACCCACCCCAGUGCUUGUUCCUCUCAUCUCCCCACCGGUGUCCCCCAGCAGCCUGGGGUCUGACAAUACCUCGAGCCACAACCGACCAGAUGCCAGGGACCCACGGAGCCCUUAUGACAUCAGCAAUACAGACUACUUCUUCCCCAGAUAGCUGGCUGGGUGGCACCAGCAGCCUGGACCCUGUGGAUGACAAAACACAAACGGGCUCAGCAAAAGAUGCUUCUCACUGCCAUGCCAGCUUAUCUCAGGGGUGUGCGGCCUUUGGCUUCACGGAAGAGCCUUGCGGAAGGUUCUACGCCAGGGGAAAAUCAGCCUGCUCCAGCUGUUCAGCUGGUUGAGGUUUCAAACCUCCCUUUCCAAAUGCCCAGCUUGAAGGGGUUAGAGUGAACUUGGGCCACUGUGAAGAGAACCAUAUCAAGACUCUUUGGACACUCACACGGACACUCAAAAGCUGGGCAGGUUGGUGGGGGCCUCGGUGUGGAGAAGCGGCUGGCAGCCCACCCCUCAACACCUCUGCACAAGCUGCACCCUCAGGCAGGUGGGAUGGAUUUCCAGCCAAAGCCUCCUCCAGCCGCCAUGCUCCUGGCCCACUGCAUUGUUUCAUCUUCCAACUCAAACUCUUAAAACCCAAGUGCCUUCGCAAAUUCUGUUUUUCUAGGCCUGGGGACGGCUU
rnacentral:lncRNA from 1 species